GAGGGUAUAGCUCAAAUGGUAGAGCUCAUGCUUAGCAUGCACAAGGUCCUGGGUUCAACCUCCAGCACCUCCU
rnacentral:tRNA from 1 species